CUGGGCUACCAAUAAGCAAAAUUCUGACAUAAAUGACCCAAAAACGCAUUUAUGAGGUAAAUAAAGGCCCUAAAUAACAGAUCUAUGAGGUAAAUUAGGCCUUAUGUGAGGAAAAUCCUGUCAUAAAUGACCCAAAGUGCACUUAUGAGGUAAGUGAGAGGCCCAGUAAGAGAGUUGUGAGGUAAACUGGGCUCCCAGUAAGAGAUACAUGAGGUAAACUGGGCUCCCAGUCAGCAAAAUUCUGACAUAAUUCACCAAAAAUCACAUUUAUGAGGUAAAUAAGGGCCCAAAUAACAAAUCUAUGAGGUAAAUUAGACCCUAUGUGAGAAAAAUCCUGUCAGAAAUGUCUCAAAAGUGCACUUAUGAGGUAAUUAAGAGGCCCAGUAAGAUAUACAUGAAGUAAACUGGGAUCCUAGUAAGCAGAAUUCAGACAUAAUUCACCAAAAAUCACAUUUAUGAGGUAAAUAAGGGCCCAAAUAACAGAUCUAUGAGGUAAAUUAGGCCUUAUGUGAGAAAAAUCCUGUCAGAAAUGGACCAAAGUGCACUUAUGAGGAAAGUGAGAGGCCCAGUAAGAGAGCUGAGGGUAAAGUGGGCUCCCAGUUAGCAAAAUUCAAACAUAAAUGACCCAAAAACUCAUUUAUGAGGUAAAUUAGGCCCUAAAUAACAAAUCUAUGAGGUAAAUUAGGCCUUAUGUGAGGAAAAUCCUGUCAUAAAUGACCCAAAGUGCACUUAUGAGGUAAGUGAGAGGCCCAGUAAGAGAGCUGUGAGGUACACUGUGCUCCCAGUAAGAGAUAUAUGAGCUAAACUGGUCUCCUAGUAAGCAAAAUUCUGACAUAAAUGACCCAAAAACACAUUUAUGAGGUAAAUAAGGCCCCAAAUAACAGACCUAUGAGGUAAAUUAGGCCCUGUGUGAGAAAACCCCCACCACAGAAGCCCCGUAAGGCCCAGUGUGGUCAAUGGGCUCCCAUUAACUCAGCCUUAGACCCACGGAGACCCCCGGGAACCCAACAUGACGUCACCGAACGGCCCCCAAAUCCCCUUUUUUGAGCUCAUAUCGGUGCCGGCAAUGCGAUUUUUGAAUGUAAUUCGUAGCGCUGUGAGGUAACGCGGCCUCCCCUCCCCCCCCACCCUCAGCGUGAGGCCUACGCUCCAACCCGGCCUCCCAGUGCGGGCCUGGGGGGGAACACACAGCAAAGCCAACCCCCCCCCCCCCCCCCAACACCCCGUCCCACAGCAGCCCACAGCACGGAAACAGGAGUUAAAUAGAAAAGAAAAAAUAAGGGUAAAAAGGAGGAAAGAUACCAACCCAACCCCCCUCCACACGUACAUAAGGAGCCGCGGUCGGGCCCGGGUGGGGCCGGAACCAUUGCGGGGCUCGCGUAGAAGUGUGUGUGUGGGGGGGGGGGGG
ensembl:lncRNA